GGGCAAGGGAAAGUAAUGGAUAUAAUCUUCCUGGAUUUCAGUGAGGUUUUUGAUGCUGCCC
rnacentral:snoRNA from 7 species